rnacentral:rRNA from 1 species
AACGCGAAGAACCUUACCUACCCUUGACAUGCCACUAACGAAGCAGAGAUGCAUUAGGUGCUCGAAAGAGAAAGUGGACACAGGUGCUGCAUGGCUGUCGUCAGCUCGUGUCGUGAGAUGUUGGGUUAAGUCCCGCAACGAGCGCAACCCUUGUCUCUAGUUGCUACGAAAGGGCACUCUAGAGAGACUGCCGGUGACAAACCGGAGGAAGGUGGGGAUGACGUCAAGUCCUCAUGGCCCUUAUGGGUAGGGCUUCACACGUCAUACAAUGGUGCAUACAGAGGGUUGCCAAGCCGCGAGGUGGAGCUAAUCCCAGAAAAUGCAUCGUAGUCCGGAUCGUAGUCUGCAACUCGACUACGUGAAGCUGGAAUCGCUAGUAAUCGCGGAUCANCAUGCCGCGGUGAAUACNUUCCCGGUGUGUACAAGACCC